UGUAUGUAAUAGGCCCAAUUUGCCCGGCCCAAAUUAGAAAUAAAUAAACAAAAAAUAUAAAAAAAUAAUAAUAAACCAAAACCAAAAAAAAAAAACCAAUAACAUAGUCCAGUUCUGUACAUCAGCAGGCCUAAAUCCAAGUAGGCCCAAAUGCAUAUGCCCAAAAUACUAAUCCCGAAUGGCCCAAUUACACCUAGCCCAAAUCAGCCCAAAAUUACAACCAAACUUAAAUUUAACCUAACCCACUAAAUCAAAAGACCUAGCCCGAAUGCCCAAAC
rnacentral:lncRNA from 1 species